rnacentral:rRNA from 1 species
AUGAACGCUGGCGGCGUGCCUAAUACAUGCAAGUCGAGCGCACAGAUGAGGAGCUUGCUCCUCUGACGUUAGCGGCGGACGGGUGAGUAACACGUGGAUAACCUACCUAUAAGACUGUGAUAACUUCGGGAAACCGGAGCUAAUACCGGAUAAUAUAUUGAACCGCAUGGUUCAAUAGUGAAAGACGGUUUUGCUGUCACUUAUAGAUGGAUCCGCGCCGCAUUAGCUAGUUGGUAAGGUAACGGCUUACCAAGGCAACGAUGCGUAGCCGACCUGAGAGGGUGAUCGGCCACACUGGAACUGAGACACGGUCCAGACUCCUACGGGAGGCAGCAGUAGGGAAUCUUCCGCAAUGGGCGAAAGCCUGACGGAGCAACGCCGCGUGAGUGAUGAAGGUCUUCGGAUCGUAAAACUCUGUUAUUAGGGAAGAACAAAUGUGUAAGUAACUAUGCACGUCUUGACGGUACCUAAUCAGAAAGCCACGGCUAACUACGUG